CCUACGGGGCGCAGCAGUGGGGAAUAUUGGACAAUGGGCGAAAGCCUGAUCCAGCCAUGCCGCGUGUGUGAAGAAGGCCUUCGGGUUGUAAAGCACUUUCAGUGGGGAAGAAAGCCUUGGGGCUAAUACCCUCGAGGAAGGACAUCACCCACAGAAGAAGCACCGGCUAACUCCGUGCCAGCAGCCGCGGUAAUACGGAGGGUGCGAGCGUUAAUCGGAAUUACUGGGCGUAAAGCGCGCGUAGGCGGUCUGAUAAGCCGGUUGUGAAAGCCCCGGGCUCAACCUGGGAACGGCAUCCGGAACUGUCAGGCUAGAGUGCAGGAGAGGAAGGUAGAAUUCCAGGUGUAGCGGUGAAAUGCGUAGAGAUCGGGAGGAAUACCAGUGGCGAAGGCGGCCUUCUGGACUGACACUGACGCUGAGGUGCGAAAGCGUGGGUAGCAAACAGGAUUAGAUACCCCGGUAGUC
rnacentral:rRNA from 1 species